rnacentral:rRNA from 1 species
CCCUUAGAUGUUCUGGGCCGCACGCGCGCUACAAUGGUCUUCGCAAACGGAUGCAUUCUCGAAGGAGAAUGCCAAUCUUGGAAUCUAUGCCUUGGUCGGGACAGUUGCUUGCAAUUUUUCGACUCGACCCAGGAAUUCCUUGUAAUCGUGAUUCAUCACAUCACGAUGAAUACGUCCCUGCCCUUUGUACACACCGCCCGUCGCUCCUACCGAUCGAAGAGUUAGGUGAAUUGUUUUGAUCGAUAAGAUUUGACUAUGGUCAACUCUCGUUGUGAAAUUCUGUGAAUCUGACUGUUUAGAGGAAGGAAAAGUCGUAACA